AACGAACGCUGGCGGCAGGCCUAACACAUGCCAGUCGAGCGGACCUUUCGGGGUCAGCGGCGGACGGGUGAGUAACGCGUGGGAAUAUGCCCUUCUCUACGGAAUAGUCCUGGGAAACUGGGGGUAAUACCGUAUACGCCCUGUGGGGGAAAGAUUUAUCGGGGAGGGAUUAGCCCGCGUUGGACUAGGUGGUUGGUGGGGUAAUGGCCUACCAAGCCGACGAUCCAUAGCUGGUUUGAGAGGAUGGUCAGCCACACUGAGGCUGAGACACGGCCCAGACUCUUACGGGAGGGAGCAAUGGGUAAUCUUAGCCAAUGGGGGCGACGCUGAUCUAACCAUGCCGCGUGAGUGAUUAAGGUCUUAGGGUUGUAAAGCUCUUUAAGCUGGGAAUGUAAUGACGGUACCAGCAGAAGAAGCCCCGGCUAACUCCGUG
rnacentral:rRNA from 1 species